GACGAACGCUGGCGGCGUGCUUAACACAUGCAAGUCGAACGGUAAGGCCCUUCGGGGUACACGAGUGGCGAACGGGUGAGUAACACGUGGGUGAUCUGCCCUGCACUUCGGGAUAAGCCUGGGAAACUGGGUCUAAUACCGGAUAGGACCACUGCCUGCAUGGGUGGUGGUGGAAAGCUUUUGCGGUGUGGGAUGGGCCCGCGGCCUAUCAGCUUGUUGGUGGGGUGAUGGCCUACCAAGGCGACGACGGGUAGCCGGCCUGAGAGGGUGACCGGACACACUGGGACUGCGAUACGGCCCCGAGUCCUACGGGAGGCAGCAGUGGGGAAUAUUGCACAAUGGGCGCAAGCCUGAUGCAGCGACGCCGCGUGAGGGAUGACGGCCUUCGGGUUGUAAACCUCUUUCAGCACCGACGAAGCGCAAGUGACGGUAGGUGCAGAAGAAGGACCGGCCAACUACGUGCCAGCCGCCGCAGUAA
rnacentral:rRNA from 1 species